GAGAGAGCUAUUUGCGAAAACACAAGCAGGGAGAGAUGGUAGCGCUAAAAGCUGUUUUGUUCCGGAGAGGUCUCCGGGUCCCUGAAUAAAAAGGUUUAGGAGACGAGAGGAGAGGAGAGGAGAGGAGAGGAGGAUGCAGGAUUUGUCCGAGUUUAAUAAGUGAGUAGGCGUCUGACUCUCAUAGCCUAUAAGUCCUUUUCGGGCCUCAUGUCCAGCACUUAAUGUAUUCAGCUUUCACCAUGACAAAAAAGAUGAGGAUGCUGGAGGAAUCUCCUCUUCCUGUACGGAAGUUUAUCGUGGUCAGCCCGCCUGUCACUGACGCCUCCCAAAGGAAAGUCACAGCGGCUUUAUUCACCCGCUGACCCGUAAAGAGCACAGAGGAAGAAAAAAAAAAACAACAACAGACAAGUAUGUGUGUGUGCCUGUGUAUAUGUGUGUAACCUGACUAAGGGCUUCUUUUCUUUCCAGAAAGGAGGCAACGAUGAAUCUUGUACAUUCAGCGCAACCUCUGCACGUGUCUGAUGCGUCUAUGCAUGUAGUGUCAUGUCCUUUAACCGACCCCGCUAAAAUAAAUGCAUCUUUCCUCCCUC